rnacentral:rRNA from 1 species
UACGUAGGGUGCAAGCGUUAAUCGGAAUUACUGGGCGUAAAGCGUGCGCAGGCGGUCAUGCAAGACAGAUGUGAAAUCCCCGGGCUCAACCUGGGAACUGCAUUUGUGACUGCAUGGCUGGAGUGCGGCAGAGGGGGAUGGAAUUCCGCGUGUAGCAGUGAAAUGCGUAGAUAUGCGGAGGAACACCGAUGGCGAAGGCAAUCCCCUGGGCCUGCACUGACGCUGAGGAGCGAAAGCAUGGGGAGCGAACAGG